rnacentral:lncRNA from 1 species
CAGGACCGUAGAGUUGUUCGUCGCUGGUGAUGAUCGGAGCAUUCUCAAUCUCUGACUUCACGUGUAGCAUUUGCUUAUCUACUUCCGUCAUCCAAAGAGGUAUCUGGAAUUUACGAGUUUACAUAUAUAAUCAUAAUUUCUGAGAGAAUAAUCGAUCAUACAUACCAUCGCGGAUUCACGAUUCUUCUCCAGAAGAUGAUCCAUGUCAGACGUCGAUAAUACUUCCACUGCUUUGUUUUUUCCGUUACUGGUUUUCUUCCUUUUUUUCCGUUGAUGAUUAUCGACAUAGGUUGAAUUUGAAAUCUCAAUCUCAUCUAUUGAACUAAGAGAGACAAACUCUGUCACGUUGCUUGAUUUGUUCGUGAGAAAAGAUAAUUCUUUGUUCGGUAUUAUACCCGGCGUCGGCGGCGAAGCGGAUAUCGCAUCUCCGGCAGUCUGUGCACUUGGAAUUGAAAGAAUAAUGAGAUUGCGGGAUUCCAGAAAGUUGAAAACAAGCACCACUGCAAAUACCAACAAGAGUAGCUUGAUAGUCCAUGAUUUCUUCGGCUGAACGAUCUCCGGUAGAUUUUCACUUGACAUCUCCGAUUCUUGGCCGAACGAUCUCCGAUUUUAGAUAUAUAAAAAAAACAAUCAGUAGAAAAACCACAUAGAAGAGAAAGAUUCCCUGAUAGAAAAGUAUUGUAAUUUGCAAGUGUUUUGACUAAUGACUAGUAAUUAAUGGAAACAUCAUUAAUCUUUGAUUAAGAAAAACAUUAUGGAUCCCGGGGGGGUACUUAUUUAUGUAUAAUUUAUUACAAAGAUUGGCAUCUUUCAUGACAUCUCUGAUUUUAAGCUGCAUGUUCAUAAAUGAUAAUUAAUCUCCCUCAUUUAAAAUAUAAAUAAAGGCAGAGACACAAAGUCCAAACAUAACUGACAAUUGUUUGAAAAUAACAGAGUAACUAUAUUUGAUUAACAUUUCACACCAACUUCGUAUUUGUUAAGGGAUCUUUGGAGGCUUCUUCUUUUGACGGUAUCCGUUUGGCAUUUGUUGAGAGAAAGCAAUAGCAGGUGGCACACAAAGAAACAGAGACCGUCAAGGAUGAUCGGAAGAGAUAUAAAAUCACCCACAGUCAGCAGUUAGUGACGAUUCACAACUUGGAGGUUGAAAUGUGUGCAUGACUGUUCAGAAGAGAGCGCCAAUGAUUCGGUUGGAGGAGAGGAUCGUCUCAUUGAUAAAGCUAAGUGUUCUUUUAACAUGUUUUCAUUUUCUAUCAGAUCCUAUGUAAAAUAUCUUUAGUUUCAAUCUUAUUUAACUUAUUGAUCAAUCAAUGUCUGAUAAAUAUAGCUGUUACUAAUUGACAGUUAUAAAAAGUAGUUAUAAAUUAUAAUAUAGUUAACACUAGUUAAUUAAUGGUACCGGAAGACAACUUCAAGUGAGAUUUUUUUUAAUGAGG